rnacentral:rRNA from 1 species
UGCCUCUUGAAAUGACAUAAGAGGUAAGAUCUGCCCAAUGAUUAUUUGAAUGGCCGCAGUAUUUUGACUGUGCAAAGGUAGCAUGAUCAAUUGUUCUUUAAUUGGGUUCUGGUAUGAAUGAUUUAAUGUAAAAUUAACUGUUUCUUAGGGAAAAAUCAGGUGAAAUUUUAUGGUAGGUGAAGAUACUUAUAUGAUUUUAAAAGACGAGAAGACCCUAUUAAGUUUUAUACUAAGUAGUGUUUUGUUAUGCUGUGAGUAUUUAAUUGGGGCAAUUUAAGAAAAGGAUAAACUUCUUAUAGGUUAAAAUAUUAUGAAUAAAUCUUAUUUAUGAUCCACUUGUUUGAUUUUUAGAAUAAAUUACUGUAGGGAUAACAGCGUAAUUUGUUUUUAGAGUUCUUAUCGAUGAACAAGAUUGCGACCUCGAUGUUGGAUUAAGAUACCUAUAAUGGUGCAGGAGCUUUAUUAGGUAGUCU